rnacentral:rRNA from 1 species
CCUACGGGCGGCUGCAGUGGGGAAUAUUGGACAAUGGGGGCAACCCUGAUCCAGCCAUGCCGCGUGUGUGAAGAAGGCCCUCGGGUUGUAAAGCACUUUCAGUGAGGAAGAACGCCUGGUGGUUAAUACCCAUCAGGAAAGACAUCACUCACAGAAGAAGCACCGGCUAACUCCGUGCCAGCAGCCGCGGUAAUACGGAGGGUGCGGGCGUUAAUCGGAAUUACUGGGCGUAAAGCGCGCGUAGGUGGCUUGAUAAGCCGGUUGUGAAAGCCCCGGGCUCAACCUGGGAACGGCAUCCGGAACUGUCAAGCUAGAGUGCAGGAGAGGAAGGUAGAAUUCCCGGUGUAGCGGUGAAAUGCGUAGAGAUCGGGAGGAAUACCAGUGGCGAAGGCGGCCUUCUGGACUGACACUGACACUGAGGUGCGAAAGCGUGGGUAGCAAACAGGAUUAGAUACCCUGGUAGUC